CUUUCUUGAUACUCCAAGUGGCUGCAGUUAAACAUUGAAAUUUUAUUUUUAAUGUCAACAAUGAAAAUUUUUUAACCACUAGAUUAUAUUAGCAUUAAGAUUACUAAAAAUUUCAUACUUCUAUUUAAUAUUCUGACAGAUAUCUACUCUCAAAGUUGUGCUGCAAACUUCUGCUAAAAUGACCUUGCAUUUGAUUUUGAACUAAUGUAACUACAAUUAGAUAUCCACUCUUGGCCGCGGCAGUUACCUGAUUCUGCUUUGUAGCGUUUGG
rnacentral:misc_RNA from 1 species